GUUUCCAUAUCAUCUCUUAAUUAUCGUCAAUGUAAGGAACUAUUUAUCCGUGCUCACAGAGGCGUGUGAUCCCUUCCCCCCAAGGUGUGCAUUUACAACAGCGAGCGAUUGUAAUUUCUCGCUCGAACAGCUUUUUGGAUGUUCGACGACGAUGUUUAUGGAAGCGUAUUGUGGAUAAUGUAUACAUACCUAGAUUGUAGGUGAACGACGACGACGACAAACUUUCAAGUUGGCGCAGCGUUACAAGGCGUAUAGCUAUCUGUCUUCUACUAGACAGACAACAAAACAUGCAUCCCUCCGAACUGUUGAAAAUACACGGAGUGAUAUGCACUAUGCAGUUUACAGCUCACUUCGGCAUGCAUCGAUGCACAAUGCGAUCAUUUUCACAUAUCCAGCUUUCCACGCUCGCCAUAAUGGCGGAUGCUAUAAAACAAUAUGACAAUAUCUGUGCCCCAGCUAACGCAACGACUUAUUUCAUCCAUAGCAACCUUUGAUAAACAAUUAUUUUCCUUGUCAACGGAAAAAAACAAACUCUGAAUUUUAUUAUUAUCACCAGACAAAAUUGAAACUUUGAAAUAAUCAUCCCGCUUAUCGUUAAAAUACCACUUCGUAAGUCUGAAAAAUUGCCAUAUGUCCACAUCAUUAUGUUGUUCCCGUCUAACAGUUUUGGUGGGAGGCCAGUAGCCGACCGGCUAUGUCGAGGGUGAUGACUUUGAGGCGUCGGAAGCCGCGACCGCGGUGGAUGAUCGGGAGCCAGCGACGACAUUGGCUCGAGAUCAUCCGGAUGCUGUAAUGGCGGCUCGUUAUGUGGUGUUUAGUGUUACGGACAGUCUUGUCGGUACGCGACGAUACAACCAGCUUUCGUCAGGGCGUCUUGCGGGGGAGUUUUUCGUGGAACGCGUGCGACGUGGCCAAAGUGAGGGAUUGACCAACAAUUUGACGUUCCAACAGCAACAUGACUCGUGGAUUCGGAGAUGUUGUAGGCUAUGAGCUCUUGCCUGUCGCAACAGUGGGCCAGUAUCCCAGCAGCGGUGCCCACGAGCGGCUAUCAGGCGGUCUGAAAUGGCGAUUCACAGUGGACAGGAUCAAUGCCGAGGUUGCGAGCACAGCAGAAACAAGCGGGAAACUCUCAGGCGAUUAUCCAGGGCAAUUCCUGAUCGUCGUGAACAGGAAUUCGGCAAACAGUUCCGGAUUUCCCGGAGCUAGAACAAUUGCCCUCAGACAAGAUACUAGUGGCAAUGUAUCAAAGUCUAUAUUCAAACUUUACCAUAUAAAUAUGAUCAUAACUUGUGACAAUGUACCCCGAAGAAAUUCCUACCAGUUUACUCCGCACCUUAUAAUAAAUAGUCAAUUUGGUUAGAUUGUUAAUUGCAUUUCAAUGAACGACUUCGCAGUACUAACCCAGCCCAAAGGGUUAUAUUUUACCACAGACCAACAUACGUACCACUAAUCAUUCCCAUCUUACACCGAUUUAAUGACCAAUUCUAAAAUUUGAUAGUUGGCCAACUGUCCACCCGUGGUGCUCGCAUGAGUUUUGAUCAAGUUUGACGUUUGCUCACUACCGCAACCUAGUUCAUGGUUGGCCAAACUGUUUUUUAGCAUUGGGGGAAUGUUUCCGUGACUACAUCGAAAAAUGUUCAUAGUAUUACGUCUGUUUGUCGGUGGUUUUACAUUCUAGGUGAAAUCAACACAUUAAUUUUGUUUUCGACGGGUAACAUUUGCCGUAACGUAUUAGUUUGUGGAGUGUGGGAAUUUAGGGCAAUAAGUGUGAAAAGUUGGCGCUAGCUCGCAACGUUCAAUUUGUUUGCUGCGCCUGAAGGUGGUUACGCACAUACCCCUGAGUGUGAUGGGUGGCGGUCUCCAUUGAACCGCAACUGGAUGUAAAGCGGAAAAGACUGACCCAAGAGAGUAAGCGCCCCUUCGAAGGGGUGUUAGGCUUGACGAGAAAAAUCAUCGAAACAAUUGAAAGAUAGUCGUAAAGGGAAGAGAUGAUACAGAUUGAAUACCACUGUGCUACAUAAAUUCGCCAAAUUUUGAACGGAUAUUAGUUUGUUUUACCUUCCAAAGCCAGUUAGUUACCCAGCCGUUGAUUUAGUGAUUCGACUGAAUAUCCGUGACAACCCUUGAAGCAUGAUCGAAAACGGAUUCAGGAUUUUACCAGGCACCGUAUUUCGGCGCAAUCCCAAACCUCGUGACCCAUAAUCACGACUGGCUGCUCCAGUUGUCAGUGUACACCAACGGCGGUUCGGGAAAAGGCCCAAGAAAUCGACGCACCUCGGGCGUCCAGCUUCCACAGGUCAUCUUCCGGACGGUCCUCGCGAAGUGCGCGACAGAAAGUAUGAUUCAGUAAGAUAGUUAACGUUUGUCGAAGUGCAUAAGCGAAAAUCCCAUUCCGGCGGUUUCCGGCCAUGACAAACAUAUUUCAAGUUUUCAGGCUAAAAGAAAAAUAAAUAAUAUAAAACUGGUUAAUUUUGUUUAGAUACGAUAACGAAACGCAGAAAUUUUUCCUCUUUCGUUUUCCUCUGGCAGGGAAGAAAUGUGUUUAUCAAAGGUUGCUAUGGAUAAAAUAAGUCGUUGCGUUACCUGGGGCACAGAUACUGUCAAACUGUUUUAUAGCAUCCGCCAUUAUGGCGAGCGUGGAAAGCUGGAUAGGUACAUGCUGGUACAAAUCACGUCUCUACUGGGAGAAGUAGCUUUGUUUAGUGGUCGAUUUUUUUUUCUUGCUGGGUUUAGUUUUGUUCCGGAUUGGAAACACUGAUUUUUUCUAUUGCCUGGAAAUAUUGGGCUUAACCAAGUACUACCAAAUUAUGACAAACUGAUUUAGCAAUUUUCCAUCGUAGCUCGGUUAGAGCCUAGAGCUCCUCAGCUUCUAUCCACCAACAACCAGAUCGGUAGCUGAUGUUCUUGACAGUGGUAGGGUAAAGUUGAAUAGGAUGCAAGGGGUAGUCACUCUACACACUUCUUCUGUGCCAACGUUUUUUUUUUAAUGUGCCUACCAGUGUGCGCUGGUGUGCCCUAGUGUGCCGAGGUGCCGAGGCUCCAACAUGUUUUAUGGUAGCUGCUAUAAAAAAGCGACGCCGCACUGGCAUUAUUUUCUUAGCAACCGGGGAAUUUAUUGCACAUCAUUGAUUUUGUUUAUUCCUGAGAAUGUCAAUGAAAAGUUUCUCUCUAUAUUUUUUUUUCAAUUUCGAAGAGAACAUUUUGCUUUAGGAUUGAAAUUCCUUCCAAAUGAACGCUGACUACAUUCCCACACACUCUGGUGGGAAUCUAAAAUGUCGAGUGGGUAAAAAUGUCUGUCAUUCCGGAAGUAUUCCAAGUGAAAUUCUGGAAUGGUUCCGGGAUGUACUUUUAAGUACUUUUGUGCUUGGUUUUGGGGGACAUUUCAGUGAAAUCUGAGGAAACAAAAUUGGUGGAAUUUCGGUAGUAAAGUCUGAUAGAGGAAUUGUCAUUAAAUUUGAUGACGCGGGUAUGCUGGGAAAAUAUUGUAGUUUUCUGGAGGACAUUCUUGAAGGAAUCUUAGAGAAGCUCCUGUAAGCUAUGGAAGGUACUUAAAAGUUCCCAGCAAAGUUGUAAUCAUUAUUAUUGGUGCUAAAGAUUCUAAGGCCACCGACACUUGUUGAUAAAUAUAUUUUAAAACAUUGUUGGUAGGGCUCAUGGAAGAAAAUUGUAUUUAUCACUUCUUGCAAAAACACAUCCACAAUACAUUUCGUUGACAAACUUUCGAUUAAACAUCACACCAGCUUCUGCAGCAGUUAUGAAUCUGAAACAAAAAGGAUUUGUUAAAUUGGAAUUCAGGAAUAAUUUACAAAAAAAUCUAUUGCACUUAUUGCAAAAACAUUUCGUUGUAUUGACAGUGAGCAAAAACAAAUCGACGAUUGCUACGAACGAAAAGUCGUCCUUUUAUAGCAUCUUUAUUAUGUCAAUCUGUGCCAGCCGGUGCCACUGGUGUGCCCGGCGUGCCCAAGGUACACUGUGUAGAGUGACUACCCCUUGAUAGGAUGUCAUUUUUUGAACUUUGAUCGUUUUUAUUGAUAAAUAGUCUCACUUGUUAGGCAUUCAAAGUGGUAACAGCAACUAAACAAUAUUUGCUUGAUACUUCAGCAGAAAUAUUCACGAAACUAAUGCAUUUUCAUUUAUUUUUUAGCGAUUUUAAAAACUGAUUCGUAAAACGUAAGUGGUGCAAAAAGGCCAUCUGCCAUGAGCAUGAGGUAAGAUGCCACUUUAUGAAAACAUUCAAAAAUGUCCAUUAUUUAUACAUUAAGUAUACAUUCGGGCAUUUCAGACCCUUCGUAUACUUAAUACAUGGAGUGUCAGACCCCUUCUCUCCCAAAAGAUGGUCGUCAUAUUUGACUGACCUCAAACAUGGAUAGCGUAGGCAACAACAACCAUGCGCCUCCAUGUAUGUCUCCAUCUCCUUGGAAACCUGGCUGAUAAUAAAAUAAACAAGUCCAGAAAACCUUAGUUGAAAUCAAAAAAUUCCGGAAGUUGCCAAUUUACAUUAGGAAACCAAAAGAUUUUCCGUGGGUUCAACUACCUGGCUUCUAGAAGGAUAAUAAUUUAUGCAAACAUAACAUUUAUGAAUGAUUUUGUGAGUUGUGUCAUGUUAACCCACUUUGGCAUUUUGGACUUUUAUUCUUCAAUCACUUAAGGACAAACGUCUUGAAAUCCCGGUUCAACAGUGCAUCAAAACUUCAGACGCACAAAUUUCAAGAAGCAAGCUUCAAACAACAAUGAAUUUUAUUAUUCUGUUCUUGCUCACUUGUAAUAAGCUUAAAAUAAGAAGCUCAGGUGCACUAGUUUUGUUUACGAAGAGAUUUGUGCCCCCAAAAUCGUGAGUAGGUGCCGAAGUCGGCCAUUGUGGCGGCCAUAUUGGGAUUCUAACAAGUCUGUCCUUAACCUAAUUUACGGCUCUUUUUGUCCACUAGGGCACAGUGAUGGAAAACAGCGAGGAAUGCAGCUGAGCAGACACAAACGCAAAGCUAUCCUACUCGUGAACAACAGAAGCCAGAAUAUAUUCGCAUUUCCUUCACUCACGAGCUAACGAAGCUGGUCGCACUCGUGAUUGAUUCGCGAAGCAGCUCUGAACAUUUUUCAGUUUUGUGAAAAAACGAAUUUACACGGCCGACAAAUUUACUUUUCAGGAACAAUAAAGCACAAAACACUACUACCUGAUGGAUAAUCACUUGUUUUGCUAUUAAAACCGCACUAAAAUGCAAUUCCCGCAUCUCCACUUGUUCUUCGCGAAUAAAAAUUCAUGAGUGUUUUUGUUUUUGUUUUGCUUCAUACUCGUGAAGCAAGCGGGUGCGAAUAAACUCACACACGGCUUACUCUCGGCACCGUGAGUAAACCGUUUGUUGGUUUUACACUCGCGAGUUGAUUCACGAUGAGAGUGUUUCCAUCUCUCCUAGGGCACUGCGAGACCGAUUCCAAUUGGAAUAUGUAGUUACACUUUGAGCAGCGCCUAAAUAUGUUCUAUUCUAAUUCUCUUAUAUUGGACUGGUUGCCGUUGCGCUGCUUUCACUUUCUACCCUAUCAUGGAAGAAUGAUGAGCACGAGGAUGUUGAUAUAAUGUGGCUGUAGGUUGUUCCUUUUUUCAGUCCGAUUGGGGGUCCAUUAUGAAGUGCCGGUCGCCGAUGUUCAAGUAUCCGGGUACAUUUGAGCCAUGGGCUCAGAAGAGGGUCAGUGUCAGCUGUACUCAGGGGAAAAGAACAACUGACGAAAGUGCCGGGGCAGGGAUAGAACCCAUGACCAUCUGCUUAACGUGUGACCAAUUGCGCCACGGGUCCCGGAAUUUUGGACUCUGUUUCCACUUGCUUCACGCCUAAAUCGUUCAGAACACCUGUCAGCCAUAUUGCUUCAGCAGCAGCGCAGCACAAUUGCAUUUUUCUCGUUGUCAGACACUUGCCAAAGUUCUGGUAAUUUUUCUCAUCGGGGUCCCUCGCAUGAUCAGGUGCCACGGCGUUCACAGUAUCGUUCUCACAUUGGUUCUCACUCUCUUGCUCGUAACGAAUUGGAACUACCAGAUGGUUGUGCUCUGCAGAACAUAUUAGCACAACAUCACAAUUAGAACACAGGGAACAGACAUCCAAGUCCAAUUCCAAAACUGUGUAAGGAAUUUAAGGUGAAACAUCAAGAAAGCCCAUUGAAAUUUGGAUACAAACUUUAGAGGCACAAAUCAGACGAACAAAGCAUCGAACCAAGUCGCACUUGAUUAUCCUGGCUUUGCUCACUUGCAAAAAGAGGCAGCUUUUCAAAAUCGAUCGCAUUUGUUAACGAAUUUUUAAGAUUUGUGCUUUUGAAAACGUGAGUAGGGGUGCAAGUCGGCCAUUGUGGCAGCCAUAUUGGUACUCUCUGAAAUUUCUCCUUAACGGUCAUUUGAAACCGCAACACAAGUGGCAAUAUCGUAGUGGCGCUGCUAUCGCAAAGUUCCCACGCUGUUGUUGGUGGUGAAUAUUAAACUUAUCUAGAUAUGCAUACUCACCACUGACUGUAUCAAUUUGCCGCAUAGGUGACGCUAGUGUUGUCAACGCUAAAAAAGUUGAAUCCUUACACAGCUUUCGAGAAAAUUUUCUAUAUGCUUGGAUGUCUGUUCUCUGUGAUUAGGAUAACACAUAAUCAGCCAUAGUAUACCACCACAAUACAUCGUAUGUGGCUGUUGCUCUAUCCUCGGUCAAGCCCAAUGCUCUGAAGAUUACGCUCAACUUUGUGCGCUAAUCGUGCUCUCUGCGUUUCGCGUCUGCUUGUGCAUACUGGAUCAGUAGCGAACACCAACUUUGCAGAGUUAUUGCCCGGUGGUAUUUUUAUAACAUGUCCUGCUGACCGUAUUCUUCCGGAUUUGAUCAUCUUCUGGAUGCUGGAUUCUCCGUUGAGUACUGCGAUUUCGUGGUUUAUCUUUCGCCACCACAUACCGUCGCUCAAAAACUCCGAGUGCUUACAGGUCCUCCUCGAGCAUGUUUCGUGACCAUAGAAGACCACCGGUCUUAUAAGCGUUUUGCACGGUACGUUUGGUGUGUGGGUGAAUCUUUCUUUACCGCAGCAUCUUCUGGAUGCCGUAGUAGUAAGCACGUGACUUCCGCGGAUGAUGUGUCAUUGUAUUUCACGGGUUGUCUGCUGUUCAAAAGGAUCCGAGGUACCACGUGGACGAAGUCAUCUCGAAAGUGUGCCGUUUAUCGUCGUUACACUAUUGUGCACUGCUGCCUAGGCUUUCCCUUCCGUUCUCGGCUAUACUUGUCAGCAUAUAUAUAUUUUAUUUUUUACGCGUUCCCCAUUAGUUCGAUCUUUUCUGCAUCACGUUCGAGACGGGUGUACACUGUACUGCCAUGCCGCCGUUCCAAAUGUUCUAGCAAUAAUGUUCAUGUUAUCCGCGAAACAGAAGUUGAACAGUAUGCAUGAGAAUCAAUCACCUGGUCGUAGUCCCAGACGAGAUUCCAGCGAACUAGACAUGUCGCCCGAAACCCUUACGCAAUUUUUUUUUUUCGAAUGAGUGUAAUCAGUUUCCUAAUUAGGGCGGAAUUAAAAGUUACGAAACUGAUUACACUAGUUUACAAAAUAAAACGAAAGUCGUGAACUUCUGCCAACGACCAAAAUUUUUUAAGCAUAAUUUAGCGUUGAUUUCGAAACCGCGCUUCAAAAAAUUUUAAGUAGAGCAGUUUUUGAUUUUUGGCUCAAUAUCGAGUUUUACAAUUCUUUAAAAUAUGGAAUUUACUAAAAUUCAAAUAUCUUGCGUUUUGUUCAACAUUAGAAUAACCAGCCACAGAAAUCUAAUGUCGCGACUGUUCGUGUGACUAACAUCUAGUUUGCCUCGCCCUUACAGCGUCAGUAGCGGUACUAUAAGUGUCAAAUAAAUUUUGUUUACCAAAACAAAAGGUCCUCUACAAGAUGGGCAUUUAAAAAUAAUCAAUUAUUACAACUAAGGUUAUUAAAAUAGUUAAAUAGGAAAACUGAGUACAGCGCCAUUGGCGUUCUAGUGUAUUUCUAUUUGUUCAACCAAGUUCAAAUCUUUUUCCAUAAAUAAAAAGCUGAAUACAAUACCAUUCGAUCAUCUGAAUGGAUGUUUUGCGUCAGAUUGAUGAAACUUAAGAUAUUGGCGAGUUUUUGGGAAGAUCUCCUUAAAUUUUAGCAAAAUUUCCAAAAAUAUAUGAAGAAAUGUAUUUUUUUCUAUAAGUAAAUAACAGUAUAAAAAUUCUUUCUCAACGUUUAUUUGACAUAUCAUAUGUAGGCGAGUUACAGUAAAAAAAAUCAGCUAAAUCGGAUCAUUGAUUACGGAGAAAGAGAUGUGUGAAGUGAGCGACUUUGCUUAAAAAUAGAACAAAAAUCGAUUUCAAAUCAUCAACCUUGUAUGGAAAGUCGAAAAAAAUUCCGCUGUACUGUAAUUUUUUUUCCUUCACGUUUUUGAACUCAGGGCAUGAUUCUACACUAAAAAUGAUCAUCAGCUUACCGAGUUCAAAAAUGCUGUAAACUGGUGUUAUGUACACUCAUUUGAAAAGGGUAUUCUGCUUAGAGGGUUCGAAAAGUCGGUACAAGAACCUCACGCAAUUUUUUUACACCGUCCAUCGUAGCUUUGAUCAGUCUAGUGAGCUUCCCGAAGAAACUGUUCUCGUUUAUGAUUUUCCAUAGCACUGUGCGGUGGAUACUAUCGUAUGCCGCAAUACCGCAUUGAAGUCAAUGAACAGAUGAUGCGUUGGGACCAGGUAUUCACGGCAUUUCUGAAGGAUUUGCCGUACUGGAAGAUCUGGGCCGUUUAUUAAGCUUACUUGAUAACUUCCCACGAAACUCUUUUGUUUUAGGUGACAUACCACGGAAGUAGUGCUACCCCACUUUGUAGGAAGCUUCCAAAAUGGUGAGUGCUCGGAAGUUCUCAAAAGGUCGCCUUCCUUGUGAAUGGGGUAAAUUGACCCUUGCUUCUUCCAGUAGAUGUUCUGUUUCAUAGAGCCCACACUGGGGCAGAACGCAGUUAUGGACAGACAAAACCUCUAGUGCUUUGGGUAUCCAUCCUAGAGGUUUGGUGUCUUUAGAGAAGUGUCUUGCAAGAGUUUUGACUAAAAUCUGGUGACUCAAUAAUUGAUCUAGAUAAGUCGCAACUGAUCUAGAUCAGUUUUAGCUUUUUAUAGAAGCGUCAUAGAAGAAAACUUUCUUCUGCAAAGUUGUUCAUUCUGAUAUUUUUGACAUUUCUUCCGAAGACACUUUUACUCUAUAAUGCACACGAAAGGCACAGUGGGCUAAUUUACUGAAAAAGUCGAAAAAAAUUGAUUUGAUCAAUAUUUUGAAGUGAAAAAAAAAUAGAAAAAAAAUUCAAACGUUAGUUAGCAAAAAUGUAUAAGAAAAAUAUUAUUCCAUAACUAAAACUUAUUUAAUGACGAAAAUUGAAGGUUCUUCUUAUUAAAAUAACAAAAAAAGGUAAUUUACAAUUUAUUUGAUAACUCAUGAAGCAGCAGGCGGAGGCAGCUAAUUUUUUGGCCAAAACAUGUCAAUACCACUAGCAUUGAUACAAUGGGGAAAGAAAAGUGAGGUAACUCGGGGUUAUUGCUAUAUACUAGUAUGAAAUCAUCACGAAAAUAAAUGAAAAUUGGCAAUUGAGGCCAAUUUUUUGGAAACCUAGCAUGAUGUAAAACAAUUUUCCGAUUAUUUUUAAUGCAGCAUGCCUGGAGAAUUUUUGUGAUGAAGCACAUCUAUAUAUAUAAAAAUGAGUUUUAAGUUUCUUUGAGGCAACAAAACUCAGGAACGUAUAAACCGAUCAGCAUGAUUCUUGCACGGUUCGGCUCGUAUUCAUGGUGGCUGUGUUUAUAUGUACAAAAAGUUACGAAAAUCUACUAGAAAAGUAAGAAAAUUGAUAAAGUACUGAUUAUUCAUGAGCUGGGAAGGAAAUCAACACGAUCGAAAUGAAACCAAUCUAGAGUGCGGUGCUAUUUUGAGCUCAACAGUUGUCAAACCACCACAAGACGGCAAGACAAAGUUUGCCGGGACAGCUAGUUUAUAAUAAAAUCGGUUUGGCGCUUUUCAGGUCAAUUUGUUCCUUAUGAAUGUAUAUCUAGAUUUUUAUUAAGAGGGACCUCAAGUAAUAAUAUUGUUGUAUCUAUAUACUCAUAUAAUAGCGGAAGGUGGUGAAACUAAUUUUACGUGUUCGACUAUCUUAGAACAUAUGCCUAAUAAACGUAGCGAGAGAGCAAUGGGACAUAUCGAAAGUCUGUGCAGCCUCUGGCUUGAAGACGGUGUGAAUUGUCUUUUUAUAUCGAAAUUUUUUGCUGCAGUUUGCAGAUUGAAAUUAUCGUAAAAUAUAUUAUAUACUGAUAAUUCAUUUGAUUUAACCUAUGUUUGAAUAUAUGCUCAAUAACCAAAUCUGAUAUUUGUUAAAUCAAUAAUACUGUUGAAGCUCACAUACAAUUAUUUGGUAUUUAUUUGUUUGUCAAGACGUAGGGUCCAAAUCAAUAAAAAUAACAUAUCUAGAUACACAUUCACAUGGUAUACACUGGUCGGAGCAGCACUAAAUAUGUAUUUAUUGUAUUCAUGUUUUAUCACAGUAAUUACCCAGACAUGUUACAUUAAAAAAUAAUCGAAAAAUUGCUUUACAUCAUGUUUAGAGUUCAUAAAAUUGAUCUCAAAGGUAAAUUUUCAUUUAUUUUCGUGAUGGUUUCAUACUAGUAUAUAGCAAACGCCCUGAGUUACCCCACUUUUCUUUCCCCACUGUAUGGAUGCUAGUGGUAUUGACAUGUUUUGGCCAAAAAAUUAGCUGCCUCCGCCUGCUGCUUCAUGUGUUUUCAAAUAAAUUGUAAAUCACCUUUUUUGUUAUUUUCAUAAGAAAAACCUCCAAUUUCCGUGAUUAUGUAAGCUUUUGUUUUGGAAAAAUCAUUUUCUUAUAUAUUUUUGCUAACCUAACGUUUGAAAAUUUUUUUCUGAUUUUUUUUACUUCAAAAUAUUGAUCAAAAUCGAUUUUUCCACUUUUUCAGUAAAGUAUCCCACUGUGCCUUUCUUGUGCAUUAUAGAGUAUAAGUGUCUUCGGAAGAAAUGUCAAAAACAUCAGAAUGAAUAACUUUUCUUCUAUGAUGCUUCUAUAAACUGAUCUAGAUCAGUUGCGACUUAUCUAGAUCAAUUAUUGAGUCACCAGAUUUUAGUCAAAACUCUUACAAGACACUUCUCUAAAGACACCAAAUCUCUAGGAUGCAUAUCCAGAGCACUAGAGGUUUUGUCUGUCCAUAACUGCGUUCUGCCCCAGUGUGCGUCGUCGUUUUCUCCGUUACCGUGGUCUCCCGUGCCUACGUUCUCCACGCCAUUCGCGGCACGAAGCCGUUGCAGGAUCCGUUGAGCUUCUGGUAGAACUUCUGUGUUUCUUGGGAACGGCACAGCAGUUCCAUUUCUUCGCAGUCCGCUUCUUCCAGGUGGCGCUUUUUCUCCUGAAAGAAGCGGGUCUGCUGUUUCCGCUUCUGUUUGUAACGUUCCGUAAACUUCGGUGAUAUCCCAGACUCCAAUUAUGUGCAUUAUGUCACAGAAUUUAACUCUUUUUUCGAUCUGUGUACAUAUGGCCAUAUUUUUGGAGGCGGUGAAAUAAAUGAGUCGUAAGCGAUUUUUGUUCGUCUGCUGGUGGGCGCUGAAUUUUCCAAUCGUCUGGUCUGAAUUCCUUCUCCUGGCCUACCUGAGCGUUUGAAUCUCCUAUGAUGAUCUUGACGACGUGGCUUGGGCAGCGAUAGUACUCGCUUUUCGAGCUGCGCGCAAAAUGCGUUCUUGUGUGCUUCCGGAGUUUGGACUGUGCACGUCAGUGGGCUUCGUGGCCGUGCGGUUAGCGGCGUCAGUCGUUUAGGCGUAUUGUGAGUGUGCCACGGAGUGAGGGUUCGAUUCCCGCUCCAGCGGGAGGGAACUUUUCGUCAAACGAAAAAUCCUCCACUGGUCCACUGGGUGUUCCAUGCGGUCCGUUGCCUAAUGUUAGUGAAUUGUUUAGUCUGUGCAACCUCUGGUUGAAGACGGUGUAGUGUAUUUUUUAUUUAUUUUUUAAUCAUGCUGAAAUUGAAGAAUCGGCCCUUGAUCCUCAACCUGUACAUUCUUUCGUCGAUCGGCCACCAUCCGAUCACGCGCUGCAUAUAUUAUCGUCGCACCACCAAAUCGAAGUCGUCGCUAGAAGCACAUGCGAAGUUGCAGCUGCGAAGUAAAUUUAAAUCUAUUUUUUCUGUUGCGCAUCAUUAAGCUAAUUAAGAGCAACAAUAUGCACUAAUCCAAAUUGAGUUGCGACAUUUCUAAGUAGGUUAAAAAUCAAUUUUCGCACGUUCGGUCACUUCGUAUUUCGACCAAAAGCAUAAUAACAGCAUUCAUCACAAUGGAAGCUGUUCCCAGCUCGCGUGUGUUAUGGCAUCUCUGGUGGAUGGUAGAUUCCUUCUAAGCGUUCGCACCAUGGAUCCUGUCCAACACACCUCCUGCAGCGCUACGAUGCCGAACCCGCGGUCCUUCAGUAGAUCGGCGAGUAUGCGGAUGCUCCCAAUGAAGUUAAGAGAUCGGCAUUUCCACGUACCGAGUUUCCAAUCGCAAGUCCUUUUUGUUCGCUGGGGUCUCGGUUCGUAUUAUUCUGUUGCUGAUUUUCCGUUACAAUGGUUUUUUACAGCUGGCUCGUAGGGCCGGACACCAACCCCCCAUUUUCCGGAGGAACUUAGUGCACAAUUUAGCUUAGAGUCCUUCCCUGGCAAUCAGACGUUGAUCAGCAGCCUCUAACAUGGGGAUCAGACGCUGUUGUGGGUUUGGAGUGUUGUGAGUGUGUGAAGAAUUAGCCUAAGUUAAAAUUCACAAACAAAAAGAAAUUUUAAAAAAGCUGUUGUGAGUGGCUCCUCCUGGAGAACAAACACUCAGGUAUGUAGAAGCAACCCCCCCCCCCUCUUCUUCUCUGUCAGCCUAUGACUAAAGUUCCCACAGGGGUUGGUUACCCGAUCUACCCUAAGGUAGCUCGUAGUUUCCAGCCGGUAUCACAGGGAGGUAGGAAACGAUGGACGUCUCUCUAUUUUCAGAAGACAUGCUAAUCUUCUUGAUAGAAUGUUCUUCGCAAUGAGGGAGGUUGUGUUGAAAGCAGAUACUACAAAUGGUCAUAUGUAUUCUUGGAGGCGGCGUUAUUGUAGGCUGGUUGAUCUGUUGAUCUAAUUUUCUGCUCCUGGCUCAUUCGAGCGUUCAAGUCUCCUGCGAUAAAUUCGGACAACGAACGGUCGUAUUUGCAUUCGUGUUUCGCUUAGAAUUAUUCAAACCAUUAUCGUGCUUCUAAUGAGUGGAUUUGUUCAGAUAUUUUCCUACGGGGCCUGAAACUAUGCUUAUGAUUUUAUAUGUAUCAAACAAUAAUCCACUGCGUCCAAUAAGCUGAACGCUCGUUGCGUUCCAUACCUACAUUUGUGAGUCGCUACCAAGGCAGCUGAUAGCCUGAAAACAUAUGCAUAGUUUUGAAGAGAAAUCCAUACGAAUAAAUUUCUCCUAGUGUUUCAAACAUAAAUAUAAACUACUUCUUUAUUUUGGAACUCAUAGUUUUUCUUUCCUUUCCGC